rnacentral:rRNA from 1 species
UGCCAGCAGCCGCGGUAAUACGGAGGGGGCAAGCGUUAUUCGGAAUUAUUGGGUUUAAAGGGUACGUAGGCGGCUUUUUAAGUCAGUGGUGAAAUGUGUCGGCUCAACCGGCAACGUGCCAUUGAUACUGAUUAGCUAGAGUGUUGUAUAGGUGGGCGGAAUUGAUGGUGUAGCGGUGAAAUGCAUAGAUACCAUCAAGAACACCGAUUGCGAAGGCAGCUCACUGGGCAACAACUGACGCUGAGGUACGAAAGCGUGGGGAGCGAACAGGAUUAGAUA